rfam:Ciona savignyi cont_36653, whole genome shotgun sequence.
CGGCCUGAGGUCGGACGAGGCUACCCGCUGAAUUUAAGCAUAUUACUAAGCGGAGGAAAAGAAACUAACGAGGAUUCCCUCAGUAACGGCGAGUGAAGCGGGACGAGCCCAGCGCCGAAUCCGGCCGCUUAUGGAGCGGAC